rnacentral:tRNA from 1 species
UCCCUGGUGGCUCAAGUGGCAAAGUGUCUGCCUACAAUGUGGGAGACCCAGGUUCAAUUCCUGGGUAGGGAA